rnacentral:snRNA from 1 species
AACUCAUUUUAGAGCAUGUG